CUGCAAGAGCAGAUAUCUACUGGUAUAUACAUAUAUCGGAGGAAAGUCUGGACAUCAUGAGGAGAGCAUAAAAGUUAAUGGCUUUGGUUACGUCGCAUAACUAAAGGGCGUAAUACGGCAAGUGCCACAGAGACAAUACUACCCCUCUUUGCGGGGAAAGGUGAAAAGCCAAGAGAUGUGGGAAACCGCUACUUUUGGUUGAUAUAUCUAGAUAUAUCAGUGGUAAACCCUAUGUGAUGCAAUGGGAAUGGUUUCGCAAUAGAAUUACGCUCCUCUAUCGUUCUAUUUCGAAAUACCCAGCUAGAGCGUAUGAGUGAUUGUACGCCAAGAUAGAUUGAUAUCGAGGUACAGAAUCCGGCUUAUUACUCUUGCUUUUUA
rnacentral:RNase_P_RNA from 1 species